UAGUAACCAAAUAUCAACAGUCUGCUAAAGCUCCUUUGACAUGAUGCUCUUGUUUGUCUCCCUGCCAGGCUUCUUGUUUGCCUCCCUGCCAGCAGACUCUGUUUCUCAACCCUCAGCCUCUCUGACAGACUGUCUCCACCAUGCGCCAAAUACUCAGACUGUUCACAGCCAGUAACGUAUGUGUGAAACAGUGGACAGGCAGGCCAGCCCUGAAAAGCAUGGUGCUGAGGUCGUCAUUUUAGGUGAACAUCAUCACUCUCCAAUCAGUCAACAAUCAAUCAUCAAUCAGAAGACACACCUCCUCCUGUUUCCUACCCUAUCACAGUUCCUUUCCCUUGGUUUAAAAACCCCAACAGUUGUUUGCUCUAGAGCUCAAUCUCUCUGUAAAUGCCAUGUAUGUAGAUCUCUGUGUUUCACUCUCUCUUUGUGUCUUAACCUCUCUUUUGUUUGAGCACCUCCAAAUCACUUUGUCAUCUCCUGUGCUGUCAGGUGAAACUUUCACAUCCAAAGCUACAGAUGGCGAGACGGAGAAGUUUGUCAUAAGGUUGCUGCAGCUUGCACCAGACCUAGACGGAGGCAGAAAGGAGAGGACCAAACACAGCCAGGAGAGUGCGGAUAGACCCAGAGACUGAUGCAUUUACAUACAUUUUUAAAGGAUAAAUGCCAACACUUUGAACAUUAUCUGGAAAUAAUGGACUACUUGGUACUGCCUGAGUUUAUUAGCACCAGAUAAUGUAUAGAGUGGAGGCGUUUAUCCCGCUUAUACCAGGGUUGCCAAAGAAACAAGCACACAUUUACCGGUAACAACACAUUUUGAUAUUCUCUUCACUUUUAUCUCUGUCAACAAUCCCUGAUGGGAAACCUACAGAUUAAGUAUUUU
ensembl:lncRNA